GGGGGUGCACCGGUUUCGACGGACGGAUGUCGGGCGCCGGACUGCAGGUGGAGCGUUCAUCUCCUAAAUCUGAGCAAAUGUAUAACUGCCAAAAACAAUACCGUCAAGGCUGAUUUCAGCCGCGACAUGGCACUGGCCGCUUAACCGCGGUCAAGGGGAUCUGAGGUACGCCGUGCCGAGGACCUGGAUCCCCUCACCAACCGGCACUUGCUUAUGAUUCUGUUCAGAGUUUCAUAGGGACUUUAUCUGAACUCCUUCGGCGACGGUAGGCCGGACCGCCCCAGCGCUGAUGAGCACCAAGUGCCCGGAUAAACCUGUAGAGGUUCGUCGUUCGCCCGUUCGGACGCGGGUUCAAUUCCCGUCACCUCCAUUG
rnacentral:tmRNA from 1 species